AUACGUAUGUCGCAAGCGUUAUGCGGAAUUAUUGGGCGUAAAGCGAGUCUAGGCGGCUUGUUAAGUCAGAUGUUAAAAUGCGGGGCUCAACUCCGUAUUGCGUUUGAAACUGGCAGGCUAGAGUACUGGAGAGGUGGGCGGAACUACAAGUGUAGAGGGGAAAUUAGUAGAUAUUUGUAGGAAUGCCGAUAGGGAAGACAGCUCACUGGACAGAUACUGACGCUAAAGCUCGAAAGCGUGGGGAGCGAACAGGAUUAGAUACCCUAGUAGUCC
rnacentral:rRNA from 1 species